AUGGCAAGUGCUUUGCUUGAUAUCAUCAACGAUUACAAAACCAAAUUUAAACUUAAACAUUGCGGUACCGGCUCGUUGAUCGGUGCACUGGGAAGAGCAUCAUCGUGUGGGGCGGCGUCGACGACGGUGGCGGGCCUCUCCAGGAUCACCGCCGACCACUCUACCUCCAAAGGUGCAGAGAAUGGCAGAAGUGCCCCAGGCGUCGGGAGCUUCGUAAGACUGAAGUCGCAGAAAGUGCAAGCUUUAGCUAGGAGAUCAGCAGCCCAGCUUCAAGAGAGAGUGCACUUCUGGCCGCACAAGCAUCGCCCAGCCUAA
rnacentral:rRNA from 1 species